CGGGGUUUUCAUCUCGGUGAGAGAGAGCGGUGAUUGACGGAGCGGAAAAAUGCUCCAGCGAUGCCGAGAGAAGGCGAAAUAAUAGUGUGAAAGUUUGUUCUUUCGUUGUUAAGUGUUAAAUGAAGACCCAACAGGAUUGAGGCUCGGUGUGUUGGAUCGGGGCGGGGGUGUGUGGUUGUUGCGAGACGUGCGGGUGAGUGUUGUUGUUAGAUUCGGCGAGGUUCGUAAAUGUGCUAUAUGCUAAAUUGUUAGCUGACUAGCAUCGACUGUGCAGGAGCAGAGGAAGACUGGAGUCAGGAUGCAUGUGCGAGGUCGAGUGUUAAUUUCAAGUUCCUGAGUGAGUAUCAGACUGCUUAUUGUUAUCGCAUACACGUUGUGAGUGAGUACGUGUAUGUGAAGUUUUGUUUUUUGUGCUGUCAGUGUGCUUCGGAUACUGUCCGCUCGUGCUGGAACAGUAGAGGUGCUCCGGACUUGCCGCGCCUGGGACUUCGGCAUGUGGACCGACUUUCUCCUUCUUCCGGCUCUGUGCUUCCGUGAUGGUUAUAACAACACACUAAAUUUGCAAGGGACCGUGAGUACAAACGACUUAGAAAUCACACCCACACAAGAGCUCCAACAGCGCGCCAACGUACGUGGUACCACAGACUGAUUUAUAAAAUCCCGG
rnacentral:lncRNA from 1 species